AGAAUCAACGCUGGCGGCGUGCCUAACACAUGCAAGUCGAACGAGAAAGUGGAGCAAUCCAUGAGUAAAGUGGCGACCGGGUGAGUAACACGUGACUAACCUACCUUCAAGUGGGGGAUAACCUCGGGAAACCGGGGCUAAUACCGCAUAACAUCUUUGGAGUGGAAAUUCUGGAGAUCAAAGGAGCAAUUCGCUGGAAGAGGGGGUCGCGGCUGAUUAGCUAGUUGGCGGGGUAAUGGCCCACCAAGGCUUUGAUCGGUAGCCGGCCUGAGAGGGCGCACGGCCACACUGGAACUGAAACACGGUCCAGACUCCUACGGAGGCAGCAGUGGGGAAUUUUGCGCAAUGGGGGAAACCCUGACGCAGCAACGCCGCGUGGAGGAUGAAGUCCCUUGGGACGUAAACUCCUUUCGACCGGGAAGAUGAUGACGGUACCGGUGGAAGAAGCCCGGCUAACUUCGUGCCAGCAGCCGC
rnacentral:rRNA from 1 species